CAGCAGCCGCGGUAAUACGAAGGGGGCUAGCGUUGUUCGGAUUAACUGGGCGUAAAGGGUGCGUAGGCGGGCGCUUAAGUCAGGGGUGAAAUCCCAAGGCUCAACCUUGGAACUGCCUUUGAUACUGGGUGUCUUGAGUCCGGGAGAGGUGAGUGGAACUGCGAGUGUAGAGGUGAAAUUCGUAGAUAUUCGGAAGAACACCAGUGGCGAAGGCGACUGACUGGACAAGUAUUGACGCUGAGGUGCGAAAGCGUGGGGAGCAAACAGGAUUAGAUACCCCCGUAGUCCCUGUCUCUUAUAC
rnacentral:rRNA from 1 species